rnacentral:sRNA from 1 species
GGUGGCGGAGGCGGUGAGUGCGCGGCUCCGGGGCUGGCCGACUCCGCUAGUGGCCCGGCCGGCCUGGGCUCGGGGGCUCCGGGCUCUGGGCUCUGGGUGCGCGGACCGGGCCAGGCUGCUUGAAGACCUCGCGACCUGUGUCAGCAGAGCCGCCCUGCACCACCAUGUGCAUCAUCUUCUUUAAGUUUGAUCCUCGCCCUGUUUCCAAAAACGCGUACAGGCUCAUCUUGGCAGCCAACAGGGAUGAAUUCUACAGCCGACCCUCCAAGUUAGCUGACUUCUGGGGGAACAACAACGAGAUCCUCAGUGGUUGGAGUGCAAUGGUGCGAUCUCGGCUCACUGCAACCUCCACCUCCCAGGUUCAAGCAAUUCUCCUGCCUCAGCCUCCUGAGUAGCUGGAAUUACAGCCGCUUGCCACCACGCCCAGCUAAUUUUUGUAUUUUUAGUAGAGAUGGGGUUUCACCAUGUUGGCCAGGCUGGUCUCGAACUCCUGACCUCAGGUGAUCCGACUGCCUCGGCCUUCCGAAGUGCUGACAUUACAGGCAUGAGCUGCCACUCCCAGCCAAGAUCUGAUGGUUUUAUAAGGGGCUUUUCCUGCUUUGCUUGGAACUUCUCCUUCCUGCCACCAUGUGAAGAAGGACAUGUUUGCUUCCCCUUCUGCCAUGAUUGGCUGGACAUGGAGGAAGGCAAGGAAGGAGGCACAUGGCUGGGCAUCAGCACACGUGGCAAGCUGGCAGCACUCACCAACUACCUGCAGCCGCAGCUGGACUGGCAGGCCCGAGGGCGAGGUGAACUUGUCACCCACUUUCUGACCACUGACGUGGACAGCUUGUCCUACCUGAAGAAGGUCUCUGUGGAGGGCCAUCUGUACAAUGGCUUCAACCUCAUAGCAGC